rnacentral:SRP_RNA from 1 species
GCCGGGCGCGGUGGCGCGUGCCUGUAGUCCCAGCUACUAGGGAGGCUGAGGUGGGAGGAUCGCUUGAGCCCAGGAGUUCUGGGCUGUAGUGCGCUAUGCCGAUCGGGUGUCCGCACUAAGUUCGGCAUCAAUAUGGUGACCUCCCGGGAGCGGGGGACCACCAGGUUGCCUAAGGAGGGUGAACCGGCCCAGGUCGGAAACGGAGCAGGUCAAAACUCCCGUGCUGAUCAGUAGUGGGAUCGCGCCUGUGAAUAGCCACUGCACUCCAGCCUGGGCAAUAUAGCGAGACCCUGUCUCUA